GCGGUUGUGGCGAAGUGGUUAACGCAUCGGAUUUUGGUUCCGACACUCGAGGGUUCGAUUCCCUUCAACCGCCCCA
rnacentral:tRNA from 1 species